GUGCUCGCUUUGGCAGCACGCAUACUAAAAUUGGAACGACACAGAGAUUAGCAUGGCCCUGCACAAGGAUGACACACACAUUUGUAAAGCGUUCCAUAUUUUU